ensembl:lncRNA
AUGUUCUUUAAAAAGAAAGAGAGAGAGAGAGAGAGAGAGAGAGAGAGAAAGAAACUAUAAAUAUAAACUCUACCCUUUGUUUCCUCAUUCUGAAAUUAUUGACAUGCUUUACAUCCUUUAUCUUUGCAUAACACUGGGGGAAAUGUGAGGAAACUCUUAAGAGCGCUGGCCUGGAGAGAAGAAAGACGCAGCACCCUCUUUCCGGACACACUUGGGUUCCUGGAAUCUCCAUGACCUAUCUGCAAUUUAAAGGACUCACUUGUCUGAUUCCUGCUGUUUUUUGAGGAGCUGCUCUAAAAUUUGAAACAUCACCCACAGACAAUUUGAGGGGCUGUAGCAUAUCACACUCACAACUGAAGCCUUGCACCAUUUUUCAAGUC